GCGGGGCUGCCCGGCACGAGCCGCACGAAUAUCCCUGAGGCUAUAAGCAAUCCAUGGGAGCUGUCCCUGCCUGGGCUUGCGGGUUUGUCCUGGAGGCUCGGGUAUACGGCGCCCACCUGACGUUACUUGGCGUCAGAGGAUUUCAAUGGCACCGACCCAUGGUGGUCCCGCU
rnacentral:sRNA from 2 species